CGGGGAUUAGGGUUCGAUUCCGGAGAGGGAGCCUGAGAAACGGCUACCACAUCUAAGGAAGGCAGCAGGCGCGCAAAUUACCCAAUCCUAAUACAGGGAGGUAGUGACAAGAAAUAACAAUACCGGACUUUUUGGUUUUGUAAUUGGAAUGAGUUAAGUAUAAACCCCUUUACAAGUAUCAAUUGGAGGGCAAGUCUGGUGCCAGCAGCCGCGGUAAUUCCAGCUCCAAUAGCGUAUAUUAAAGUUGUUGCAGUUAAAAAGCUMGUAGUUGGAUUUCUGUUAAUAAUUUGUAUAAAAUAUUUUGAAUAUUUAUAUAACAUUAACAUAAUUCAUAUUACUAUAUAUUUUAGUAUAUGAAAUUUUACUUUGAGAAAAUUAGAGUGCUUAAAGCAGGCAUAUGCCUUGAAUACUCCWGCAUGGAAUAAUAUUAAAGAUUUUUAUCUUUUUUAUUGGUUCUAAGAUAAGAAUAAUGAUAAUAGGGACAGUUGGGGGCAUUUGUAUUUAACAGUCAGAGGUGAAAUUCUUAGAUUUGUUAAAGACAAACUAAUGC
rnacentral:rRNA from 1 species